UUUCGACUCGCCCCCCAAGCAACGCGGGUCUGGAGCGGCGGAACGUGAGGAAAGGGGCACGGAGCGGGACAGGCUUACAAGUCUUAGGAGCAAGUGAAAGACUAUCUACUCCCAUAUGAGCCUGUAUCAGAUGCCCUGUUCUAGGUACCACCUUCUGGGUCGCAAGCCUUCUGAGUCCCUCCCUGGGGUCUGAUUCUGUGCCCCCAUCUUCCUUCCCAUACAACUCUGGAACCUCCUGAGGACCAGGCGAGGUCUGGCUCAACCUACUCCCUGGGUUCAUCCGAGUCCAACUCCUCGAGCAUCAUCCUGAUCUGACC
rnacentral:lncRNA from 1 species